CGCGUUUUAAACAAUAUUAUAAGGUUGAUUAAAAUGUAUGGCAAAAUGUAAAACAAUACAAAAGAGGGACGAAAGAUUCCAGAGGGAUAGUCAAAAUCAAAGAUCGAAAAUAGACUGACAACACCAUGGCUAAAAAAUAAAAAGACAAACAGACAAAUAAUAGUACAGAAGACACAACAUAGAAAACUAAAGACUUAGCAACACGAAC
rnacentral:lncRNA from 1 species